GGGUAAGGGGUGGGAGGCGAACUAGAGGGAGGAAUGGACAACUUUAGCAUCCAGCAGAGGCUGGGCCUGCCAAGGCGGGUUGGGGUUGGUGGCGUAUAGAAUCUGGACCAGGUGUUCAGGAGGGUCAAGGCCAAUUCUCAGCUCCUUACUUGGAAUUUCUGCAGAGAAAGAAACACAGCAGAAAGGAGGCCUGUGUUUCAGCUGAGCCUCAUAGGCCUCUCGCUGGAGGUGCUGGUGGUGGGUAUGAUGCACUUUUUUUACCCUUUAGGUGAAGGCACUUGCCUGAAGCCGCUCAAGUGGUGGGUGGGGUUAGUGGAGCCAGGCUCCUGGUGCCCGGUCCACAGCUGACCCCCUUGCCUUCCUCUCCUCCCUGCUGCACGAUGCCUUCCACAGCUCAGGACCUGCCCCCGGUGUGUGAGUGUGGGCUGCUUUCCAGUGUGCAUGUGUGGGACGGUUUUCCAGCAUACGUGUGCUUGACAGUGUGGGUGUACGCAUGUUAUGCCAGCGAGUGCGCUCGACUGCCCUUUUACAAAUUCCAUACCCAGGUGCAGUGUGCUAUCACCAGCCCCCUCUGCGACUCUCCUGACAUUUCAAGAUCCCUCUCAUGGUCCCUCCUUCUUGUCUCAGGGUCAAGAUCCGUAGCGGAUGGUGAAAGUCGUCCCGUUCUCCAUGUAGCUGGAGGAUUCCGAGGAGUCAUAGAGGCAGUGAAUCUCUGGCAGAGGGACAUAGGUUCAGGGAUGAGGAAAAGAUUCUGGUCCCAGCAAGCACUCACCAAGGGGUCACUGACUAAGGAAAGGGGUAGAAGACGCCCAGUGCCUGUGAGAGCAUCCCCAGGGCUCCCCUGUGAAGGCUCUUUGUGGAAGCCUGGAGGGAGGUGUCCCUAGCUGUCGGCCAGGAGGCCCCAGGAUUGCGGCCCGGUUGAUGGAGAACCAGUCUUCCGUUCCAGAUGCGGGUCCACCUCUACUGUCCUUUCCCGCUCACACCCGGCACUCCCGGACCCCAUGAUGCCCACGGGCCAAAAUGCAGCUUUCCUGCCAGCCAGCGCCACCACAUCUCAAUGGAAAUGACUUGUCACAGUCAUGUCACCAUUUACUGUUCACAAAGCAGUUCCACAGUUAUGAUCUUGUUCUCAGCCAUCCCACAGGGUGGGUGAUUCUUCCCAUUUUACAGAUGGGAAACAUGGAGGAACAGAGAAGGCCUGAUCCCAAGGAGGGUGCAUUCUCUACCAUCUACCCUGAACAGCCUCCGCUCUGGACCUUUACUUUUCCCAUUCUCCUUUCAAAAGUCCCUUCCCCUCCACACCCCACCUUUGCUUGGGCUCCUGCUUCAUUUUUCCUGGGGCACUCACAGCCAGCGCUGCACAGCCUAACGUUUAUGGUUCAUGGCGGUGGUGGUGUCUGGUGGUGAGGACAGUAGUUGUGAGCGCACGCUAAGACCCCUUAUUACUGUGUGAUUCUGGUCAGCUUACCUACCCCUCUGGGCCUUUCGCGAGCCCCCCCCCCAUUAACUCCUCUAUAAAAAGGGAUGAAACAUGGGCACCUGGGGGGCUCAGUGGUUGAGCAUCUGCCUUCAGCUCAGGGCAUGACCCCGGGGUCCCCCGGAUUGGGCUCCCCGCAGGGAGCCUGCUUCUCCCUCUGCCUGUGUCUCUGCCUCU